AACCUUCAGAUCAAUUGCUCAAAAUGUCAAAACUUUUCAGAAAUCUAGGGUAAAAUGGAACGUUUAUGUUGCAUCUUCUUAUUGAGCACUGCAAGAAAAGAAAUACCUUCAUCCAUUGGGUAUUUCACUCAGCCAGCCCUUAAAUCAUUAUAUGUCAGACAAUGCUCAAAACUUAUGCGUUUCCCCAGUAGCAUUCAUCUGUUGCAAAAUCUAGAAGAGCUUUGUCUCUUUAACUGUAUAAAUCUUGAAAUAGGAGAAGUGGCUUCAUCCAUUAAUGGAUGCUUCACUGGGAUUGAAGAGUUAUCUAUAGAAGGCUGCAUGGACUUGAUGUGUCUCCCAAUCAGUGUUUCUCACUUGCAACAUCUAAAGAGUCUUUCUCUCGAUAAUUAUUCAAAUCUUGCAAGAGAAGAAAUAUGUUCAUCCAUUGGGUACCUCACUGGGCUUAAAAAGUUGCACCUAACAACAUCCAGAUUGUUUAAGAGGUCUGAACCAGAAUCAAGUGCUGAAUUACUCCUGUCGCCAGUUUAUAAUUGUUAUCUUGACGGCUUUUCAUUUUACUGCUCAUCGACUUUGCAAGAGUUAGAUCUAUCUAAAAGUGCAAUUGUCAGCCUUCCUCCGAGCAUCAAAAGAUUUGUUGAAUUGAGGAUUCUCAGUUUGUGGCAUUGCGAGAAACUUCAAGAAAUUCUACAUCUUCCACCAAAUAUACAGAAGCUAUAUGCUAGUGAGUGUUUCUCCUUGGAAAGAUUCCCAGAAGUAUCAAAACAAUUUCAAUUCUAUAGAUGUGGCUUGCAAGAGCUAAGAUGGAUUGAUUUGUCCGGUUGCCAUAAAUUGCUUGCAAAUAUAGGGAGUCAGGUGCCAAAUCCUUCAUUUGUUGAGGAACAUAUUCAAGACCAUUCAUGUGGUAUUAUAUUUCCAGGGAAUAAGAUUCCAGAUUGGUUUAGCCAUACUAAGGAAACUUCAAAUGGUGAUGAUUAUUGUGAAUUGGAUAUUAGUGGUCCUUUGUAUUUGGAUGAAAUCGUAGGAAUUAGUUUUUGUGCUGUUCUUGGAGCCGACCCAGAUCACCUGAUCCGCUCCAGUAUUGGUGUUUAUAUAAACGGUAACAUGCUUGUUGAAGCAGAUUUUUACUUAUUAAAAGACUCGGAUCAUGUAUAUCUAAAUUACUCAUUUCUAGAAUGUAUCGAGCAAUGGCUGCGGUACCCAAAAGGAGACAAUCUGAGGUUUAGUUUUUAAAGUGAGGAUAAAUCGGCGAUGUUUAAAAGUUGUGGAGUUCACAUAAUCUAUAAGCAUGAAGAGAAUGAGAAUUUUAAAGCUAGUAAGUGUUCAGUAGAUUCAUUGAAUGGUAUCCAACUUUGUAAGAGACGUCGAGAUGAUGGAGACAACAACUUUAUAAGAAGAAGGGGAAGAGGGAGAAGACAAUGAGGAAGAAGAGGAAUUUGAACAAUCUGAUGAUGACGAAGAAGAUAGAAGAAGACAGUGGGGCAUUCUUCUAUGCAUGGUUCACCUUCUUAGCUAUUGAUGGAUCAAGGAAGUUGAGAUUCUCCUAGUUGGAGGGAAAAAUUUAUGCCACUUGUUGUUAGAAGUCUUGGCCUGUAACAUAGGUUGAUUGCCACUCAGAUUGCCACCCCCAGCAUUCAAGUUUAUGGGCGUUUAGCAUCAUUAUGGACAAGCAAAUAUUGUCUCUCAAUUCACUCAAAAAGUAGCUAAGCUUGUGGUUUUCCAAGAGGCCUCUUAGCCGAUUCGACAGGGCCUCAAAUUGGGCUUUGUAACUUGCGACUGUUAAGGUCUGUUUGAGGCGAGUAAGGGCUUCCAUCUGAUCAUCAUACCCAGUGGGGCCAAACCACACUUGCAAUGCUCUGCAAAAACUCUCCCAGUUGUUAAAGAUCCUGCUCUCCACAAUGUCCUGGCACCAGACCAUUGCUUCCCCCUCCAGGUGGUAGGAGGCCAUUAACGAGCGAUGCAUAGGCUGAGUUUGGUGGUACUCAAAGUACUGUUUGGCCUUGAAGCACCAAGCAGUUGGAUUAUCACCAUCAGAGUGAG